GUUAAUAGUGUUGGCCAAUGAUAUUGAUAAUUAUCAAUAUAGUUGUAAAUUUAUUACUACUGGCCCACUACUCAUGAAAUCCUGAAACAAUAUCUUAUCUGUUGGUUAUUUUUAAAAUACUGUCCACGCUUAUUGGACAAUGUUGCUGAAACAAAAACAAAACACAAACUUGAUGUUUACCAAUACAGCUUGGGACAUGAUUUUGUUGGAAAAAACAUAAUUGUUUAAAAAAUGUUUUGAUUUUGUCACAAAAAUACAAGUUUUUGUUUUAUUAUAGUUUUGUCUCUCAGUAUGGACCCAGUAUAAGACUAGCAUAAACAAAUGCAAUAACUCUUUACAUGAUGUGCUCCUAAUAUUGUUGCUAAAGAAAAUGCCUUAAGUUUGGAUUAUUCAUACUAUUAUAACAGGUUAUCAGUUUUGUCAGACAGAGAUUGGAAACAAUUACAAACAUGGCCUGUAUAAUUGGAUAAUAGCAGAAAAACAUAAAAAUAAAACACAUUUUACUCAAUGUUUUCAUAGAUAACACAAUAAAUUUAUUUUCAUUUUUUACUGGAAAUGCCUAGUCUGGAUGUCAAUUUACAACCAUAAUCCUUUGUCUUGAAACUUAAGUUUCCAGUGGCAUUGAGUAUAUUCUGAUAUUUGGAAAAUUAAUUUAUGGCUACUAUCUCAUCAAGUGUAAUUUGGCCUAUCAAUUUUUGAAGAUAAGGUAAUUUGGUAUUGUAUGGAUUUAUAUCAGUUUAUGUGUUAAAACUGAUGAGAUAGUAGCCAUAAAUUAAUUUUUCAAGUGUGAUUUUUCGAACCCAACCUAUUCUACCAAGAUGAUAGAAGAUAGUGUAUAACCAUCAUAAUAAUUCUAUUAAAUUCAUUAUUUUUUUAUAUAAUAAUACUAUAAUUAUGGAGCUCACUGAGGGUCACUGUUUAUUUAAAUUAAUUAUUAAAUCAUAAAUGCAUAGUAUAUAAAAGUUACAUUCAUUUCAGAUAUCUAAUUAUUUUAUUUUACAUUUUAAUAAUAGAUUUCAAAUUGAAAAUAUUGUAUAUUUUAACACUUAUAUAAUAUUCACUAUUUAAUGUAUAAUAUUACAUUUAUACACAGAUCCUGAUUCAAAAGUCUAAAUGUUCUCCAUUAUUAAGUAUUUAAGUUUUUCCAUCAGGCAUUCAUAAUCAAUACUUGAGGCUGAUUCAUGUUCUAUAAAUUGAGCUGGGUUUUAGAAUCCAGUUCACUCUUUAAUUUUUUGGGAAAAUGUUGGAAUCCUAACAAUUCAGAAUGCUAAAUUAUCAGAUUAUCAGAAUACUUUUACCUUAGAAUUUUUUAUUUUCUUGCUCCAGCUUUCUGAUAAAUAAUUGUUCUGUUAUUUUGUUUUUCAGCACACCUAUUUUCUAACAAGUAUCAUUAUAAUAAUUUAUGAGCCAUUUAACAUUUUGUCUUUUGGUAUUUAAUCUCUUAAAAAAUUGUUUUACACAAUAUUAUUUUCAAAUAAUUAUAUCUUAAUUUGUCUACUACUUUGUGUAAAAGAUAUUUAAGCAUCAAAUCAGUUUGGGUCACAGUAGUAAUAUACAAGUAUUUACACCAUAUUUUCAAACAGACAUCUAUUUUAAAUCUAUCUACUUUCUACAAUAAAACUCCAGUAGUGCACAUUCACUAAUAUUUAUCAGUAUAUGUUGAAUUAUAGAAAUGAUAAUUUAAUAAUCUAGCCUUGGACAAAAUAAAAUAAUUUUUCUUUUUAAAUUUCUCAGGUCAACUGGAAUAAAUUGUUAUUGUCAUUAGGUCACUAAAUAUAAAUUUCAGCAUGCAUGCUGCAAAUUAUGCAUAAACAUAAGUCCUCCAUACAUCUAUGAUAUCAUUUCAUGACCAUAUUGGGAUUUAACCUAACUAUUAGGAACUGUUAUCAUUUUUCAUAUUUCCUGCAGCAUAAUAUUAUAUACUAUACACAAUAUGUAUUUACAUACCUUACAAAAUAUACAUUAUAUACUAUAUUUUGAUGCAACUUAUAUAAAUGGUACAAGUAGAAGAAUUAUCCAAAACAAUUUUGUUCUUCAGAAUAGUUCAUCAAUUCUCAACGAAUAAUUUGGACUUUUUAACAAUUACCCUUGGAUAGUACAUAAUGUGUUUGACAAAAACAGCACAAAUAACAAAGCAUUGCAGGUAGUAAAUGUGAAUUGAAAAACAUAAAACUAAACUUUUAUGUAACUUAAUUACCCUAGUUAAUUAAUUUAUAGAUAAUAAUUAAAUUAUAAAAUUAUUUGUUAUUAAUAAUUGUUAAUUAAUUUUUUUUUUUUUUUGCUUUUAUUAUUAUAAUGCAUUUAUACUGAACCAAACUGACUAAUUUAAAAAUAUGUAUUAUAUAAAAAAAAACUUAAUUAUAAUGUUAUAAUUCUUAGUUUUUAUGAUAUUAAAAGUUGUCUUAAUUAAUUUGAUGAGUUAAAUUUCACCAAGGAAAAUGUCCUCCGUAUAGGUUAUUCAUAAUAUUAUAAACAUGUAGGUAAUUUAUUAAAGACAAAUAUUAAGGAAAAAUUACAAACAAGGCUUGUAUAAAUAUUUAAUAGUUCAACAUAGUAGUACAUUAGGUAUUUAUCAACUAACAGUACUUAGCAUAUCAAUUUGUUAUUUUUAUGUUUAUAAAUUAAAUAGAUUUUUGUUUUAAAAAUUUUUGUAAAAAAUGUAAUUAUAAUUUAAUUAUUAUUUUAGGAGUAUCUGGUUGGUGAUCCUGGAGGAGUUUUUGGACAUUAUACAGUUCCUGACUCCAUUAAUAUCAUAUUGCUAUAUUAAAGCAGAUGAAGCUUCACCAAAUGUAAUGUUGCCUUAUCUUGUUUGAGUUAAGGGUAAUAACCUAACCUAACCUAAUUUUGUUGUCUUUAAUAAACUUACACUUAAACAUCAUUUCUUCUAAAAUUACUAAUUUAAUCAGCUUAUUGAAUGUUUAAUUUUUUUAAUCCAGUAACCUAACAGACUAAUUUAAAAAUAUGUAUUAUAAAAAAAAAAAAAACAAAUAAAAAUAUUAUAAUUCUUAGUUUUUAUGAUAUGAAAUAAUUUCUUAAAUACUAUUGAAAAAAAAAAAAACAUGAACAAAUGUUAUAUUAUUGAUUUUUUUGUUUUAAGUUCUUAAAAUAUGAUUUAUUAUUUUGUUUCAAUUUUAUUAACAAUAAUAAUAUCUUUUUUUUCACUUUUUUAAAGAAGUUUUUCACAUUAAUUGCUUUUUAAAAUUUUAAUUUAGUGACUACUUUGCAAAUAAGAUAGCUUUGUGUUAAUAGAAAUAUUAUUUCAGAUUGAGCACAUAAAUGAGAAGACCAGCCAAUUCAUUUAAAGUAGAUCUUUAAAUAAAAUAUUCAAAGAUACUCUAAAAAAGAUAAGAAAAAUUAUGAAAUGGAAAAGGUACAAAAUUUUGAGUUUAAAAUAUUAUUAGUACAAAAAUAAAAAAAUGGAUGUUAUGUUUCAGGGAAAUGGAUAUACAAAUUGCUUACUAAUGAUAAAAAUUAUUAGUCAAAUGGUUGAAUUCAGCAACAAUUUUAUACAAUUGGGUUUGACAGAUACCAAGCAGAAAUUUAAAAUAAACAACACUAUAUAAUUUCUUUUAAUUUAGUUUUUGUUUAUUUAUUUAAUUUUAUAAAUGUAUAAUUUAAUUUCAAGUUAAAUAUUGUGAUAAUUUUAUUUUGUAUUAAAUUAGAUUUUUAAUUUUAUUUUUUUAAUAUUUUAUUUUUUUUCUCUCUUUUAAUACUGCCAUUGUUAUAUUUAAAAUACUUAAUCUAAAAACCAAAAAUAGUUUUUAUUUUUGUUCAAUAUUUAAAAAUUUUUUUAUUGCAAUACUUUCUAGAGAUUCCUCUAUUUUAUAUGUUUUAAAACUACUAAUCAACAAAUUGUUUUUACAAAAUUUAAGAUGGAAAUUUAUUAAUAUAUUUUGGAAUAAAAUUCUAGUGUUACAAAUAUUUACUAACAAUGAAUCUUAAAUUUCUACAAUUUUCAAAGCUUACAAAAAUUGAUAACAGAAUUAUUUUCUGUGGAGAAGUUUGGGAAUCAAUCAUUAUUACUUAAUAAUGACAACGAUUUAUGACCACCAAUUUAUAAGUUAUCCUUAACUUCAAAAAUUGUAGAAAAGUAACAAUUCAUUAGUAAUAAAUAUUAGUUACACCAAAAUGUUGUUUUAAUAUUUAUUUAUUUAGUCUUUGAUUAUGUUGACAUAAUUUUUGAAAAAUUUUAAUUUUGUAUUUUAAUUUAAAAUAAAUGUAGAAUAAGGAAUCACAGUUCUCAAUCAAGAUCUCAGUAGUUAUCACAAAACAAUUAAAAUUAAACAUUUUGUAUAAAUCAAUAGUUAUUUCAUGUUAAAUCAUUGAAUUACAAUCUGUAUAAAAAUAUAAAGAAAAAACUAAAUCUAGUAUAUGUAAGACCAAUUUCAAAUUAAAAAAAAUAAUUAUUGGGUGAUAUUUGAACCAGUAAUAAUUUCUUGUUUAUUAUUUAGUUCAUUUUUAUUUAUUUUUAGCUUUUAUAAUUUUAAUACUUACAGUUUUUUUUAUACAUAUUAAUAGACAAUAGAUUAGUUUAUUAUGUCUGCUUUUUAAUGUAGCUGUUAAUAUGAAAUUAUUUUCAAAGU